rnacentral:rRNA from 1 species
UACGGAGGGGGCUAGCGUUGUUCGGAAUUACUGGGCGUAAAGCGCACGUAGGCGGCUUUGUAAGUUAGAGGUGAAAGCCCGGGGCUCAACUCCGGAAUUGCCUUUAAGACUGCAUCGCUAGAAUUGUGGAGAGGUAAGUGGAAUUCCGAGUGUAGAGGUGAAAUUCGUAGAUAUUCGGAAGAACACCAGUGGCGAAGGCGACUUACUGGACACAUAUUGACGCCGAGGUGCGAAAGCGUGGGGAGCAAACAGG